GCCGUAAGGCGGAGUCUGAAAAGAAGUUGAAUGUGGGGGCUGAAAAGUGCCCCUACCGGCAAAGCCACGGUCUGACGAACAAAAACUACCUAUUAGGCGUUUUGAAACGGAUGUGCCCGCACAACAGAACGAAGUUCAAUACCAACCGAGUUUCAAGUUCUAACGGUAGUAGACCGGGGAGAAGG
rnacentral:ncRNA from 1 species